CAGUACUGAGCUGUUGCUUGGUGUGUGUCAGGGAGGUGAUGUGAUCCUGCAGGCUGGUGAUGAGGUGUUGGAGCGACUUCCUGAGAGACUGCAGCGCCUUCACCGCCUCACUCACUAAAACUACUCGAUUCGGCGAAAUCGCACUCGCACGGAAUUCUUUCGCACGCUCUUUCGCAGCUCUCAUUUACCAAUACAGCUGUACUCCCGUUCGACACACGUGACUCGAAGAGGGCUUUGUGAAUCCAAUCAAACGUGCGUCGUGAUGACGUCACAUGACGCGUCUCGGCCCAAACCUGCGGAAAAUCGUGAAAUCCUGGAGGGACUGCACAUAGCAUCGCUGCUGAUUAUUCUCUCCAGAUAACAGUUCAGUUGUAAGAGAGUCAAUAACAUACUUAUUUAUAAAGCGAUGCAUGAUAAAUGGUACCUAAUAUUAAAAAAGAGAAGACGAAAAAGAGGACGAGACGUGUUUGAUUAACCAGAACAGCCGUUAUCAUCUCACACGAACUGUUCUGAAACCACUUUCACUCCCCGACGCUUUCUGAACCUCGGCUCACACCUCAGCACUGUGGUUUGGUGGUUGCUGAGUGGGUUGGAGAUGUUUUCUGCAAACUUUCAGUGCUUGUGGCCAACACACACACCCACCCCUCAACACAGAACCUGAAACAAACUUAUUUAAAAAAAAACCUCUUCUUCUCUACUGCUGUGUAGAAGCUCUCUCUCUCUCUGUGUGUGUGUGUGUGUGUGUGUGUAUGUGUGUACAUGCGUGCCAGGUGUCACAGUGCACCUGUGUGAGAGAUGUGUGUUGUGCACAGUGAAGCCGUUCUGAGUGAGCAGCUUCUGCAGACAC